CCUACGGGAGGCAGCAGUGGGGAAUAUUGCGCAAUGGGGGCAACCCUGAUGCAGCAACGCCGCGUGAUUGAAGACGGCUUUCGGGUUGUAAAGAUCUUUAAUCGGUGACGAAAUUUGACGGUACCUGAAGAACAAGCCCCGGCUAACUACGUGCCAGCAGCCGCGGUAAUACGUAGGGGGCAAGCGUUGUCCGGAGUUACUGGGUGUAAAGGGCGGGUAGGGGGGAAUGCAAGUCAGAAGUGAAAUCUGGGGGCUUAACCCCCACACUGCAUUUGAAACUGCGUGUCUUGAGUGAGGGAGAGGCAGGCGGAAUUCCGAGUGUAGCGGUGAAAUGCGUAGAUAUUGGGAGGAACACCAGUGGCGAAGGCGGCCUACUGGACAUUAACUGACGCUGAGGCGCGAAAGCGUGGGGAGCAAACAGGAUUAGAUACCCGUGUAGUC
rnacentral:rRNA from 1 species